rnacentral:rRNA from 1 species
ACAGCAGCAGCCGCGGUAAUACAGAGGGUGCAAGCGUUAAUCGGAAUUACUGGGCGUAAAGCGUGCGUAGGUGGUUUGUUAAGUUGGAUGUGAAAGCCCCGGGCUCAACCUGGGAACUGCAUCCAAAACUGGCAAGCUAGAGUACGGUAGAGGGUGGUGGAAUUUCCUGUGUAGCGGUGAAAUGCGUAGAUAUAGGAAGGAACACCAGUGGCGAAGGCGACCACCUGGACUGAUACUGACACUGAGGUGCGAAAGCGUGGGGAGCAAACAGGAUUAGAUACCCGUGUAGUCCCUGUCUCUUAUAC